rnacentral:rRNA from 1 species
UAUGUGAUCGUCUCUCGCAUAUCAAUAAGCGGAGGAAAAGAAACUAACAAGGAUUCCCCUAGUAACGGCGAGUGAAGCGGGAAGAGCUCAAAUUUGAAAUCUUAAAGGGUUUCCCUUUACGAAUUGUAGUUUAAAGAAGUGUUUUCUGUUGAGGUUUUGGUAAAAGUUCUUUGGAAUAGGACAUCAUAGAGGGUGAGAAUCCCGUAUUUGACCUUUACUUUCAACUUUGUGAUACACCUUCAAAGAGUCGGAUUGUUUGGGAAUGCAGUCCAAAAUGGGUGGUAAAUUUCAUCUAAAGCUAAAUAUUGGCGAGAGACCGAUAGCGAACAAGUACCGUGAGGGAAAGAUGAAAAGAACUUUGAAAAGAGAGUUAAACAGUACGUGAAAUUGUCAAAAGGGAAGCGUUUGACACCAGUGUUGUUUUUCUGAAAAUCAAUUAAAGAACUGUUUAUGCUAAGCUGUUUAGACUUUAUCAGCUAAUCUGUUUAGUUUUGAGCUUUUCUUUAAUGCACUUUUCAGUUAACAAGUCAACAUCAAUUUCUUUUGCUGUAAAAAAGCUUGAGGAAGGUGGCUUGAGAUUCGUCUUAAGUGUUUAUAGCCUCUUGCCUAUGCAGUCGGAGAGAUUGAGGUCUGCAGCGUAGAUCCUUCGGGGCUAAAUGCAUUUGUGCUAAGUUAUAGCAUUUUAUAGACAACUUGUUGACUAUGAUUUGUCUUGUAGCUUACUCGCUUAUGUUAUUUUACCUACGCUUAGGAUGUUGAUAUGCAUGACUGAUAU